CACGCAGCAGGUAGAUUCAACGCGUGCCCCGAGGACUGUCUGCGCAUCGGAUCUCCAUCGUUCGUUACCGGAUUUUCUUUCGUACAGCGCUAAUACCAAAGUGCAACCAGCGCGCCACUUGGAUCCACAUGGCUGUGCAUGUGCAUCGUUAUGGUCUCGCCGCGUUACUUUCGACGACACGUUGCAACCCCUCGAAGGUCGCGCCACGGUUCCGGAAACUAGAAUGCACCGCUUUCCUUUCUAAGACGGUACAUGUUCAAUUAAGAUCAAAGUCAUCGCCACAUUUUUAAAAAAAAUGAAGUUUUUCAUAAAUCGACGCUGUAUAGAAUUUGAGAACGAGACUCGAUCUUUGGAAUUUACAUUGUACAGGUAUCAUGCUCGCAUUCUUACAUGCAUUCGAGUUCUCUAAUCGUAAAUCAAAUCACAGUUACGCGAAGAUACGUAGACGACGUGUAUCAUAGCGGUAUUAAAGAUAUUUUAAAUCAUGAAAUAUGUAGUUCGUCGGAAAACGUGUGUGACAUUAAUUAUAUUUUAACGAUCGGCAAGCAAUGAAACAAAUUAGCUUAGUGAACUACGUUUACAUUCUCUUGUCAUUAUACACUCUCUUAAUUUAUGUAGGUCGAAUAUACGAGCAUUCAGUCGGUGCAUUUUUUUAAAGUCUCGCUUGCGCGCCUGUUAAAAAGUUUGGAAAGUUGCAGAACAAGAUCUCAGAGGAAUAGUACCAUCGCCGAAUGCAACGUCGAUAUGCAUUACCGACAUGGUCUCCGUGACCCAUUUUAAAUUCGAAAUUUAUGGGCAUUAAAUAAUAUCUUUAUACCCAGGUUACAAUUAAUUAAUCAAGUGAUAUUACGUACCACGUACCCAAAAGUUUGUCAGCUGCCUGGGAAAAGACGAGCUAUUCGAACGUACGACUAAAUGCGGAAGCGACUGGUUUACGAAUGGUACGAUUAGUCUCUAAUAUUAGUAAUUAUUGAUCUAAUGGACACGUGUGAUAACAUGUGAUAACACAUGAAUAUAUAGAGAAUGUUUAUAAAUAAAACCCACGUACUGUGAACAAACAAGAAAUUUUUUCUCUUCUAAAUGAACACAUUAAUUUAUUAUAUUUAUAUAUACUUUUAGUGUUGUACAACACGUAGGAUAUACGAAUAAGAAUGUUGCAAUUCGUUUAUUAAAUAAGUAAUUCACAUUCCCUUACUUAUCUAGGUUUAUUAAAAUUAUAAUAACACAUUUUAAGCAUAUAAGUAUUUGUACCUCUUGUUUGUGUAAUGACAAGUAAAUUAGGUCAAAGGCAAUCAUGCUACUUUUAAAGUGCUGAAAUGCGGAGAUUGCAUGAUCGUAUCUGUACACGAACCGACUUGGUUUAUGAACUGUAUAGAGAAACGUAUAUGUAUACUUGCAUAAUAUACACGUAUAAUGAAUGCAAUUUCCUCAUCAUACAGAAAUUAAUUGUGCGUAGGAAAGAAAGGAAGGCAUAAGGCCUGAGACUUAAUCUUAUCAAAACCGAGGUUUAAUCAUUCUUAAUUGACUGAACGUAGACAUCACAAAUACAUAGAUGUGCAAAAAUAUCUCUUUGAAACGCUUAAUUACAUUUUCAAUAACAAUUUUUUUUCGGCAGGAUGAUAUCUCGGAAAUGCUAAACAACAGUAACAGAGUCACAGAUCUUUCAACUUGAAAACUAAUAAAUCGAUCUGUUUUAUAUAAUAAUUGACACGCUUGACACGAUCUUCUUAUAUCAAAUCCUCUUAUACGUAAACCUUCCAACAGAUAGAAUGGACAUUCAUAGUAUGUAUGUGAAAUUAUUAAAAAUUCGAUGAAUCUUUUAAAUAUGAUUUUUUUGCAAUUGAA